CUACGGGUGGCACCAGUGGGGAAUAUUGCACAAUGGAGGAAACUCUGAUGCAGCAACGCCGCGUGGAGGAUGACACUUUUCGGAGCGUAAACUCCUUUUAUAUAGGAAGAAGAUGACGGUACUAUAUGAAUAAGCGCCGGCUAACUCCGUGCCAGCAGCCGCGGUAAUACGGAGGGCGCAAGCGUUACUCGGAAUCACUGGGCGUAAAGAGCGUGUAGGCGGAUUAAAAAGUCAGAAGUGAAAUCCUAUAGCUUAACUAUAGAACUGCUUCUGAAACUCUUAAUCUAGAAUAUGGGAGAGGUAGAUGGAAUUUCUGGUGUAGGGGUAAAAUCCGUAGAGAUCAGAAGGAAUACCGAUUGCGAAGGCGAUCUCCUGGAACAUUACUGACGCUAAGGCGUGAAAGCGUGGGGAGCAAACAGGAUUAGAUACCCGGGUAGUC
rnacentral:rRNA from 1 species